rnacentral:rRNA from 1 species
GACGAGGGGUCCAAGCGUUGUUCGGAAUUACUGGGCGUAAAGCGUACGUAGGCGGCUUUGUAAGUUAGAGGUGAAAGCCCGGGGCUCAACCCCGGAAUUGCCUUUAAGACUGCAUCGCUUGAAUCAUGGAGAGGUGAGUGGAAUUCCGAGUGUAGAGGUGAAAUUCGUAGAUAUUCGGAAGAACACCAGUGGCGAAGGCGACUCACUGGACAUGUAUUGACGCUGAGGCGCGAAAGCUAGGGGAGCAAACAGG